UGCCACCUGAUAUUAGAAUAGGUGGUACAUCCUGCCCAGUGAUUAUUUAAACGGCCGCGGUAUCCUGACCGUGCAAAGGUAGCAUAAUCAUUUGCCUAUUAAUUGUAGGCUAGUAUGAAAGGACAAACGCGAAUCACGCUGUCUCCUCUUGGAAAUUAAAAAUUUAUAUUUAAGUGAAGAAGCUUAAAUUAACCCGCAGGACAAGAAGACCCUAUAGAGCUUUACCACAUAUUUAGAUAAUUAUAAAUUAACUGGUUCGGUUGGGGCGACCAAGGAACAUUUAACAUCCUUCAUUACCAAGAUAUACUAAUCAUAUAAAAGAUCCUAAACAAAGAUCAUUGAAUCAAGCUACCUUAGGGAUAACAGGCUAAUUCCUCUAGAGAGCCCUUAUUGACAGAGGAGGUUGGCACCUCGAUGUUGGCUUAGGAUUUCUCUAUAACGCAGCAGUUAUAACCAGAUGGUUUGUUCAACCAUUAAACUCCU
rnacentral:rRNA from 1 species